ACCAAAAUAGCUCAGCUGGUAGAGCGUUAGACUAUACAUCGAAGAGUCCCCGGUUCAACUACGGGUUCUGGCG
rnacentral:tRNA from 1 species